rnacentral:rRNA from 1 species
AUCAAGUCCUCAUGGCCCUUACGCGUUAGGCUACACACGUGUUACAAUGGCGACUACAGUGGGCAGCGACCCUGAGAAGGGAAGCUAAUCUCCAAAAGUCGUCUCAGCUCGGAUUGUUCUCUGCAACUCGAGAGCAUGAAGGCGGAAUCGCUAGUAAUCGCGGAUCAGCAUGCCGCGGUGAAUACGUUCCCAGGCCUUGUACACACCGCCCGUCACACCAUGGGAGUUGGUUUCACCCGAAGGCGCUGCGCUAACCGCAAGGGGGCAGGCGACCACGGUGGGAUCAGCGACUGGGGUGAAGUCGUAACAAGGUAGCCGUAA